rnacentral:rRNA from 1 species
UGGGGAAUAUUGGACAAUGGGCGAAAGCCUGAUCCAGCCAUGCCGCGUGUGUGAAGAAGGUCUUCGGAUUGUAAAGCACUUUAAGUUGGGAGGAAGGGCAGUAAAUUAAUACUUUGCUGUUUUGACGUUACCGACAGAAUAAGCACCGGCUAACUCUGUGCCAGCAGCCGCGGUAAUACAGAGGGUGCAAGCGUUAAUCGGAAUUACUGGGCGUAAAGCGCGCGUAGGUGGUUCGUUAAGUUGGAUGUGAAAUCCCCGGGCUCAACCUGGGAACUGCAUUCAAAACUGACGAGCUAGAGUAUGGUAGAGGGUGGUGGAAUUUCCUGUGUAGCGGUGAAAUGCGUAGAUAUAGGAAGGAACACCAGUGGCGAAGGCGACCACCUGGACUGAUACUGACACUGAGGUGCGAAAGCGUGGGGAGCAAAGCAGGAUUAGAUAC